ACGGAAGGCAGCAGUGAGGAAUAUUGGUCAAUGGGCGGAAGCCUGAACCAGCCAAGUCGCGUGAAGGAUGAAGGUAUUAUGUAUUGUAAACUUCUUUAGACGUAGAGAAAUAAGAGGCUCGUGAGCCUUGAUGCUAGUAUACGUAGAAUAAGGAUCGGCUAACUCCGUGCCAGCAGCCGCGGUAAUACGGAGGAUCCGAGCGUUAUCCGGAUUUAUUGGGUUUAAAGGGUGCGCAGGCGGCCCUGUAAGUCAGCGGUUAAAUCGUGGAGCUCAACUCCAUCCCGCCGUUGAUACUGCAGGGCUUGAUUGCGGUCGAGGUUGGCGGAAUUCGCCGUGUAGCGGUGAAAUGCAUAGAUAUGGCGAAGAACUCCGAUUGCGUAGGCAGCUGACCAGGCCGUAAAUGACGCUCAUGCACGAAAGUGCGGGGAUCGAGCAGGAUUAGAUACCCUGGUA
rnacentral:rRNA from 1 species